GGCAGAAUGGCCGAGUGGUUAAGGCGCCAGAAUUAGGUGUCCCUUUGUAUCUGGUUCGAAAGAGCGUGGGUUCGAACCCCACUUCUGUCA